GAUGAACGCUGGCGGCGUGCCUAAUACAUGCAAGUCGAGCGAACAGACGAGGAGCUUGCUCCUCUGACGUUAGCGGCGGACGGGUGAGUAACACGUGGAUAACCUACCUAUAAGACUGGGAUAACUUCGGGAAACCGGAGCUAAUACCGGAUAAUAUAUUGAACCGCAUGGUUCAAUAGUGAAAGGCGGUUUUGCUGCCACUUAUAGAUGGAUCCGCGCCGCAUUAGCUAGUUGGUAAGGUAACGGCUUACCAAGGCAACGAUGCGUAGCCGACCUGAGAGGGUGAUCGGCCACACUGGAACUGAGACACGGUCCAGACUCCUACGGGAGGCAGCAGUAGGGAAUCUUCCGCAAUGGGCGAAAGCCUGACGGAGCAACGCCGCGUGAGUGAUGAAGGUCUUCGGAUCGUAAAACUCUGUUAUUAGGGAAGAACAAAUGUGUAAGUAACUAUGCACGUCUUGACGGUACCUAAUCAGAAAGCCACGGCUAACUACGUG
rnacentral:rRNA from 1 species